rnacentral:rRNA from 1 species
CCUACGGGAGGCAGCAGUGGGGAAUAUUGCACAAUGGAGGGAACUCUGAUGCAGCGACGCCGCGUGAGUGAAGAAGUAAUUCGUUAUGUAAAGCUCUAUCAGCAGGGAAGAAAAUGACGGUACCUGACUAAGACGCCCCGGCUAACUACGUGCCAGCAGCCGCGGUACUACGUAGGGGGCAAGCGUUAUCCGGAUUUACUGGGUGUAAAGGGAGCGUAGACGGCAGCGCAAGUCUGCAGUGAAAUGCCGGGGCCCAACCCCGGAACUGCGCUGGAAACUGUGAAGCUGGAGUGCAGGAGAGGGAAGCGGAAUUCCUGGUGUAGCGGUGAAAUGCGGAGAUAUCAGGAGGAACACCGGCGGCGAAGGCGGCUUACUGGACUGUAACUGACGUUGAGGCUCGAAGGCGUGGGUAGCAAACAGGAUUAGAUACCCCGGUAGUC